GACGAACGCUGGCGGCGUGCUUAACACAUGCAAGUCGAACGGAAAGGCCCUGCUUUUGUGGGGUGCUCGAGUGGCGAACGGGUGAGUAACACGUGAGUAACCUGCCCUUGCCUUUGGGAUAACUUCAGGAAACUGGGGCUAAUACCGGAUAGGAGCUCCUGCUGCAUGGUGGGGGUUGGAAAGUUUCGGCGGUUGGGGAUGGACUCGCGGCUUAUCAGCUUGUUGGUGGGGUAGUGGCUUACCAAGGCUUUGACGGGUAGCCGGCCUGAGAGGGUGACCGGCCACAGUGGGACUGAGAUACGGCCCAGACUCCUACGGGAGGCAGCAGUGGGGAAUAUUGCACAAUGGGCGGAAGCCUGAUGCAGCAACGCCGCGUGCGGGAUGACGGCCUUCGGGUUGUAAACCGCUUUCGCCUGUGACGAAGCGUGAGUGACGGUAAUGGGUAAAGAAGCACCGGCUAACUACGUG
rnacentral:rRNA from 1 species